rnacentral:lncRNA from 1 species
GUGAACCAUGGAGGUCUCCUGGCUCCUCCUCCUUGUGUCGGUCGCCGUCUUAGCCGCCAUCUUCCUGCUGCUGGUUGUCUGUGUGGACUGCUCAAACCAAGGCCCCAUGGCUCACAUCAGCCAGAGAGCCCCCUCAGAGGACGACAUGUCGAACCCGAGAUUCAUCGUCAUCCACCCAGGAUCCACGCUGCCGGUCCUGGACGGGAACGCCGCCCACACCUUGUCCGUCCCAGUGUCUCCAUACCCGACCGCUGCUGAGCCUGGAUCCUGGCGGCCCACCACCCCGACGGAAACGGAGAGCAACCCCAGCUACGAGAACUCAGGAACGCCUCCGGCACGGCCAGAGAGCGACGGCAAUGAGACCGGAUACAUACUCGUGUUGCCCGAAAGCGACCCUGAGAAAAGCUGCGCCUCCAUGGCCAACUCAGACGAGCAGGACUCCUCCUCCUCUUCAUCCUCAGAUAAUCUACACGAGUACGUGAACGUUGGUAAGUCCUCCACGCCGCUCAUCAUCUCCAAAGGCCUUGGCUCCGCCUCCUUCUACCAGCCCAUCGAUAAUGAUAAACGUGAUGUCACCAGGUGACACUCAGCUGUAGAGAGGAAAGAAAAAUGUGCUGGGGGGCGGGUCCGGUCAGAGGAGCGGGGCUUAUGAUGCGGGCGGAGCCACUUAGACUGACUUUGUAUUCCCAGAGCCCCAGGGUCCAGCAACU